rnacentral:rRNA from 1 species
AUCUAUGGCAAUAUCAGUCUGAAAGUGCCUGAUCUUGUCAGAUCUUAGAAACCAUCCAGACUCGGGCCUGGUUAGCACUUGUAUGGGAGACCUAUUUGGAACCUCAGGUGCUGUAACGG